rnacentral:rRNA from 1 species
GACGAACGCUGGCGGCGUGCUUAACACAUGCAAGUCGAACGGAAAGGCCCUGCUUUUGUGGGGUGCUCGAGUGGCGAACGGGUGAGUAACACGUGAGUAACCUGCCCUUGACUUUGGGAUAACUUCAGGAAACUGGGGCUAAUACCGGAUAGGAGCUCCUGCUGCAUGGGGGGGGUUGGAAAGUUUCGGCGGUUGGGGAUGGACUCGCGGCUUAUCAGCUUGUUGGUGCGGUAGUGGCUUACCAAGGCUUUGACGGGUAGCCGGCCUGAGAGGGUGACCGGCCACAUUGGGACUGAGAUACGGCCCAGACUCCUACGGGAGGCAGCAGUGGGGAAUAUUGCACAAUGGGCGGAAGCCUGAUGCAGCAACGCCGCGUGCGGGAUGACGGCCUUCGGGUUGUAAACCGCUUUCGCCUGUGACGAAGCGUGAGUGACGGUAAUGGGUAAAGAAGCACCGGCUAACUACGUG